rnacentral:rRNA from 1 species
GAUUAACGCUGGCGGCGUGCUUAACACAUGCAAGUCUAACGAAGAUACUUAAAAUGAGAGCUUCGGCAGGAUUUUUAUUUAUUUUAGUGUCGGACGGGUGAGUAACGUGUGGGCAACCUGCCCUAUACUGGGGAAUAAUCACUGGAAACGGUGACUAAUACCGCAUGUCAUUACGGAAGGGCAUCCUUCUGUAAGAAAAGGAGAAAUUCGGUAUAGGACGGGCCCGCAUCUGAUUAGCUAGUUGGUGAGAUAACAGCCCACCAAGGCGACGAUCAGUAGCGCACCUGAGAGGGUGAUCGGCUACAUUGGGACUGAGACACGGCCCAAACUCCUACGAGAGGCAGCAGUGGGGAAUAUUGCACAAUUGGCGAAACCCUGAUGCAGAUACGCCGCGUGAAGGAUGAAAGUUUUCGGAUCGUAAACUUCUAUCAAUAGGGACGAAGAACGUGACGGUACCUAAAUAAGAAGCCCCGGCUAACUACGUGCCAGCCGCCGCCGUAAAAC